rnacentral:rRNA from 1 species
UACGGAGGGGCAAGCGUUGUUCGGAAUUACUGGGCGUAAAGGGCGCGCAGGCGGCUGCUCAAGUCAGGCGUGAAAGGCCUGGGCUCAACCCGGGAAUUGCGCUUGAGACUGGGCUGGCUUGAGUGCGGGAGAGGAUGGUGGAAUUCCCAGUGUAGAGGUGAAAUUCGUAGAUAUUGGGAAGAACACCGGUGGCGAAGGCGGCCAUCUGGACCGCAACGUGACGCUGAGCGCGAAAGCGUGGGGAGCAACAGG